CAUGCAGUCGAGCGAGGUACUUGUACCUAGCGGCAGACGGGUGCGUAACAUGUGGGAAUCUGCCUUUUGGUUCGGAACAACAUGGGGAAACCUGUGCUAAUACCGGAUAAGUCCUUACGGAGAAAGAUUUAUCGCCGAAAGAUGAGCCCGCACUAGAUUAGCUUGUUGGUAAGGUAAAAGCUUACCAAGGCUACGAUCUAUAGCUGAUUUGAGAGGAUGAUCAGCCACACUGGGACUGAGACACGGCCCAGACUCCUACGGGAGGCAGCAGUGGGGAAUCUUGCACAAUGGAGGAAACUCUGAUGCAGCGAUGCCGCGUGAGUGAAGAAGGCCCUUGGGUUGUAAAGCUCUUUUGUCGGGAAAGAUAAUGACUGUACCCGAAGAAUAAGGUCCGGCUAACUUCGUGCCAGCAGCCGCGGUAAU
rnacentral:rRNA from 1 species